CGUUGCACUAUCGUUAACUGAAUACAUAGGUUAACGAGGCGAACCGGGGGAACUGAAACAUCUAAGUACCCCGAGGAAAAGAAAUCAACCGAGAUUCCCCCAGUAGCGGCGAGCGAACGGGGAGCAGCCCGGAGUCUGAAUCAGCUUGUGUGUUAGUGGAACGGUCUGGAAAGUCCGACGGUACAGGGUGAUAGUCCCGUACACGAAAGCACACUUGCUGUGAACUCGAAGAGUAGGGCGGGACACGUGGUAUCCUGUCUGAAUAUGGGGGGACCAUCCUCCAAGGCUAAAUACUCCUGACUGACCGAUAGUGAACCAGUACCGUGAGGGAAAGGCGAAAAGAACCCCGGCGAGGGGAGUGAAAAAGAACCUGAAACCGUGUACGUACAAGCAGUGGGAGCCUCUUUAUGGGGUGACUGCGUACCUUUUGUAUAAUGGGUCAGCGACUUAUAUUCUGUAGCAAGGUUAACCGUAUAGGGGAGCCGAAGGGAAACCGAGUCUUAACUGGGCGUUAAGUUGCAGGGUAUAGACCCGAAACCCGGUGAUCUAGCCAUGGGCAGGUUGAAGGUUGGGUAACACUAACUGGAGGACCGAACCGACUAAUGUUGAAAAAUUAGCGGAUGACCUGUGGCUGGGGGUGAAAGGCCAAUCAAACCGGGAGAUAGCUGGUUCUCCCCGAAAGCUAUUUAGGUAGCGCCUCGUGAACUCAUCUUCGGGGGUAGAGCACUGUUUCGGCUAGGGGGCCAUCCCGGCUUACCAACCCGAUGCAAACUACGAAUACCGAAGAAUGUUAUCACGGGAGACACACGGCGGGUGCUAACGUCCGUCGUGAAGAGGGAAACAACCCAGACCGCCAGCUAAGGUCCCAAAGUCAUGGUUAAGUGGGAAACGAUGUGGGAAGGCACAGACAGCCAGGAUGUUGGCUUAGAAGCAGCCAUCAUUUAAAGAAAGCGUAAUAGCUCACUGGUCGAGUCGGCCUGCGCGGAAGAUGUAACGGGGCUAAACCAUGCACCGAAGCUGCGGCAGCGACACUAUGUGUUGUUGGGUAGGGGAGCGUUCUGUAAGCCGUUGAAGGUGUGCUGUGAGGCAUGCUGGAGGUAUCAGAAGUGCGAAUGCUGACAUAAGUAACGAUAAAGCGGGUGAAAAGCCCGCUCGCCGGAAGACCAAGGGUUCCUGUCCAACGUUAAUCGGGGCAGGGUGAGUCGACCCCUAAGGCGAGGCCGAAAGGCGUAGUCGAUGGGAAACAGGUUAAUAUUCCUGUACUUGGUGUUACUGCGAAGGGGGGACGGAGAAGGCUAUGUCAGCCGGGCGACGGUUGUCCCGGUUUAAGCAUGUAGGCGGAGGUUCCAGGUAAAUCCGGUACCUUAUUAACGCUGAGGUGUGAUGACGAGGCACUACGGUGCUGAAGUGAUAAAUGCCCUGCUUCCAGGAAAAGCCUCUAAGCAUCAGGUAACACGAAAUCGUACCCCAAACCGACACAGGUGGUCAGGUAGAGAAUACCAAGGCGCUUGAGAGAACUCGGGUGAAGGAACUAGGCAAAAUGGUGCCGUAACUUCGGGAGAAGGCACGCUGAUGUGUAGGUGAAGCCCCUGCGGGUGGAGCUGAAAUCAGUCGAAGAUACCAGCUGGCUGCAACUGUUUAUUAAAAACACAGCACUGUGCAAACACGAAAGUGGACGUAUACGGUGUGACGCCUGCCCGGUGCCGGAAGGUUAAUUGAUGGGGUUAGCGGCAACGCGAAGCUCUUGAUCGAAGCCCCGGUAAACGGCGGCCGUAACUAUAACGGUCCUAAGGUAGCGAAAUUCCUUGUCGGGUAAGUUCCGACCUGCACGAAUGGCGUAAUGAUGGCCAGGCUGUCUCCACCCGAGACUCAGUGAAAUUGAACUCGCUGUGAAGAUGCAGUGUACCCGCGGCAAGACGGAAAGACCCCGUGAACCUUUACUAUAGCUUGACACUGAACACUGGUCCUUGAUGUGUAGGAUAGGUGGGAGGCUUUGAAGCGUGGACGCCAGUCUGCGUGGAGCCNGACCCGUAAUCCGGGUUGCGGACAGUGUCUGGUGGGUAGUUUGACUGGGGCGGUCUCCUCCCAAAGAGUAACGGAGGAGCACGAAGGUUGGCUAAUCCUGGUCGGACAUCAGGAGGUUAGUGCAAUGGCAUAAGCCAGCUUGACUGCGAGCGUGACGGCGCGAGCAGGUGCGAAAGCAGGUCAUAGUGAUCCGGUGGUUCUGAAUGGAAGGGCCAUCGCUCAACGGAUAAAAGGUACUCCGGGGAUAACAGGCUGAUACCGCCCAAGAGUUCAUAUCGACGGCGGUGUUUGGCACCUCGAUGUCGGCUCAUCACAUCCUGGGGCUGAAGUAGGUCCCAAGGGUAUGGCUGUUCGCCAUUUAAAGUGGUACGCGAGCUGGGUUUAGAACGUCGUGAGACAGUUCGGUCCCUAUCUGCCGUGGGCGCUGGAGAAUUGAGGGGGGCUGCUCCUAGUACGAGAGGACCGGAGUGGACGCAUCACUGGUGUUCGGGUUGUCAUGCCAAUGGCACUGCCCGGUAGCUAAAUGCGGAAGAGAUAAGUGCUGAAAGCAUCUAAGCACGAAACUUGCCCCGAGAUGAGUUCUCCCUGAGACUUUAAGUCUCCUGAAGGAACGUUGAAGACGACGACGUUGAUAGGUCGGGUGUGUAAGCGCAGCGAUGCGUUGAGCUAACCGAUACUAAUGAACCGUGAGGCUUAACCUU
rnacentral:rRNA from 1 species